GGAAGAAGUUCCUGUAUAGGGGAAUGUGUAUCAUGUGAAGAUCAUUGAUGCAGAGAAUGAAACAAUCUCAACACAUUCGGAGUAUGAUAAAACAAUGGUACACGACACAGCAAGUAACAAUCCAUAGCUAUACCAUGGAGAAUGUAUUGUUAUACACAUAUAGGGGAUAUGUAUAAAACGAAACCGUCACUUUACAGUAUAAAAACCAUAAAACGUGUCUAGCUGCUUCGCAGGCAGUUCGUGUGGAGGUCAAACUUCAUCAGAAGGAGGAGGAAGAAGACCAUAGCAGGAACUGGAAGAGCUGAGAUCAGCAGUGGCAAGGGAGAUUUACCUCCACCAAUGGAAAUACUCAUUGCUGUCUUCAAAGGGCUUAUCUACAGAAAUUUAAGAGACACCUUUGUUUUUCUUCAUUUAAUUGCCGACACCGCAUAUAGUAUCCAGUCAGAAGGAGGGUCACAGGUUUGUGACACUGUGAUCUGACAGGUAUGCUUUAAAGAACAAGACAAAGGUUUAAAAAAAGGGACAUUUAAAGAACAAGACAAAGAACAAGACAAAGGGACACUUGGAUGGCAUGUCAUAAUGUGUAUGGAGGCCUCCUGAGUCUUCCCCAACAGAUGUUGUAUAGAGAAGAAUCUGGCAUGUUGGAUUUCAACUGCCCUACCCUUAUGUUUUGCGGCCACAAUAAAUAUUCAAAGAUAUAAGGGCACCAUAACUUGAUUUCUCAAUAAAGCUAAAAAUCUUCCCUCUCUCUACCUCAGAUUUACAGAUUUUUUUCUGCGAAUUUAAAGCAUGAGAUGGGAGAAAAG